rnacentral:rRNA from 1 species
UACGAAGGGGGCUAGCGUUGUUCGGAAUUACUGAGCGUAAAGCGCACGUAGGCGGAUCAUUUAGUCAGGGGUGAAAUCCCGGGGCUCAACUCCAGAACUGCCCUUGAUACUGGCGGUCUCGAGUCCGGGAGAGGUGAGUGGAACUGCGAGUGUAGAGGUGAAAUUCGUAGAUAUUCGCAAGAACACCAGUGGCGAAGGCGGCUCACUGGCCCGGUACUGACGCUGAGGUGCGAAAGCGUGGGGAGCAAACAGG